UCUGCUCCUGCUUUGGUUCUGCAUUUCUGAAUUUGUUGAUGUUUUUGAAUGAUUGAGUAAUUGCUGUUCGCUUUUUGUUGUUUCUUUCCUCCCUUCUGACUGAUUUAUCUUCGAUUGUAUCUGUGCCUGCAAACUGUUUGUGAAAAUGCCUGAGAGAAUGGUUGAGCUCGGAUUCGGGUCUAAUUUCUUGGUAUGUGAGUUUAUGUGUUUAUGUGUUUCGGUUUUUCUGUUUUCCUCUGAUCUCUGGCAAGUGGGUGCAAGUUCACGGCGGAGGAGGAGCACAGGUGGUGAUUGAAUUGUAGGUGCGGUUCGGGAACAAAUGGGUGAUAUUUAACUUAGUUUUAUUUAUUUGUUUUGUAGAUAACGAACUUUCUUGACCACCAGUUAUGUUGCACCAUGAUUCCCAUAAGAAACAAUUUUCGUUUAUUUUGAUAAUAGACCAAAUUUCAUUAAUUUAAUUGUUCACGUUGGAUUUCUUGAAAUUUUUGGUAAUUGUUUCAAAUUGGAAAGCUUUCAUGAAAUUUGAUAUUGUGUGGGGCUGGUGAAUUUAAUUUUGGGGAUGUUUGUGAGGUUGAUGUGAGUUUGGGUUGAAACUUUUUUGUUACUUUUUCCUCCCUCUAACUGAAAAGUUUGUGUCUUUGCAAGAGAUGCAAAGAGAAGCUUUCCAAGAGAUGCAAAGAGGAGCUCUGCCAUGAUUUUUUCAAUAUUUCAAAACAUUUGCAUUUGCAUGUACCUAUACAAUGAUAUAGUUAAAAAUCGUGGGUGGUAUACAAUUAACACAACUGUAAAAAAACCAAAUGUUGAGGUUAUAAAGGCGUGAAGGAACUAAUAACUGUGGAACUAACAACUGUGGGCGUCAAGGAACUAACCACCACUAGAAUUUAGAUAUCUAUUUGCAUAUAUCCUUUCCCAUUUAUUUAGCCUAUGUCCAUGUUGGGUUCAUGUCAUCAUUUUUCUCUGUACUCUGCUCUAUAUGGGUAGGUUCCGAGAGAACCUUGCUCUGAAAGGCCCGUGAUUCUCUGCCGAAUAGGGCAGUCACAAGACUCAGAGCCGCCUACUCAAACAAAAAAGCCUUCCGAAUUGAAAAUGCCUUUCGGAUUAUUCUCGUGGAGGGGGAAGUCCGCUUCAGUCGUUUGAGUCUUUGACAACCACUCUCACAUGCGAAACUCUAUGAUUCUUAACAGGAACUUUUGUGUAGGCUGGAUAGACGUGCAGUCUCUUGAAAUUGAUAGUAAAGUUCAUUGAAGCAGCCAACUCAAAUUCAAGAUUUUGUUGGAGAAGAUUGUAGAGCUUUAACAGAUUGUGGAGAAGGGAGAUUCUACGAGAGAGGCAGUCAUGGCCAUCCAAUUCAGAUAUAGCUCUCAAGGUGCCCAAGACUCCAUGCUCUCUUAUUCAUUAUGGGUUGACGUAAAUUUGAUCUUUUUUAAUUAUUUGUAAUCAUAUUGGCGUAGGGUCAGAAUUAGUAGUUUAAGUAAAUAGAAUAAAAAUGAAAUCUAUGGUUGUAUUUCACUCUAGUUUCUUCUUUGGAAAAAUGAAAUAUACGUUGAAAUA